GAGGGUAUAGCUCAGUGGUAGAGUAUAUGUCUAGCAUGCACAAGGUACGGGGUUCAAUCCCUAGUAUCUCCA
rnacentral:tRNA from 1 species